AUGGUAGAAGAAAUAGAGCCGGAAGCCCAUUUGCAAGGCACAAUUCAAGAACAGAUGCUCUAUAACAGAAGAACCCUAAAAGAAAUAACUGAAAUUACAUAUGAAUCUGAAAACAGGGAAGCAAUGAUAAAGUCAAUUAAUACAUCAGAUGAGUGGUACUACAUAGGAUGCCGUAAAUGCAACAAAAAAGUACAGAAACAAGGGAACCACUUCUACUGUCCGAAAUGUGAAAAAGAACCUGAGAAGAUAUGUGAUCUGAGUGCAACAACAACUUGCACCAUGUUUGAGGCAGAAGCAAAAAAAUUGAUUAAGCAAUCUGCAAGUGUCUUGAUAGAGAGGGAUGAUUGUGAUAUCCAUGAGUAG
rnacentral:rRNA from 1 species